CGAUCGUCCGAGCCCUGGAGGAUUCCAGUUUUGGACGCCACUGGUCCACUCGUUCCAUUCUGGAGAGGCUCCAAGACGUCACUAGGACGACUCCGUGCGAUGAAGAAGGUACGGGGUAGGAGCGCUCCGAGAACGAAGCUUCCAUGGUAUCGUCCGGCCCGUACGGUACUCUCCCUCGACCCAUCCGCCCAAAACUCUCUGUGUCUCCCGCUUUAUAUACAGCCUGUUCCAUUCUCUCACUCGAUUGUCUGGCCUCCACCGUACCUCUCUUCGCGGUCAGUUCAGUCCCCGAACUGCGGUAGCGUGCUUGAAUCUUCUUCUUCUUCUUCUUCUUCUUGUUCUUUUAUUUUUGUGCGACUUCCGUCAGUUUUCUGUGGGCUUGGAGCGAGAGGGAGAGCCGGUAUCCCUCCCCCUCAUACCGAACGGUCAAUCUGGAGCAGUAGCAGGAGCCCAGUUUCCGGCAGGGAACAAGAUCACCGCAGAGAGGAGGUGGGGAAGACGGAAGGCACAGGAAGUGAGGUUCGGCCAGAGGAAACGGAGGGUGCGCGGGCUUUCUCCCGGAAUGGGGAGAGGAUGACAAGCGAGGAAAGCCUGGGCGGCGUUGUCGGGAAUAUUAGGGCCUUUGCCGGAGUUCGGAAUGGCCUCUUCCGUGUAGCCGAGUCCAUCGCCGAUACACGUCUUUUCUCCUCCUAACUCAUUUCUCCCCAUAAAUUCCCUGCGUCUGUCCUCUUAUCUCCGUCUUCGGGGGUCUCGGGAUGGGCUGGAGGUUGAUCCGCGUCUGCAGAUGGGUACGCCGGCGGGAGCCCAGGCUCAAGGCCUACCUCCGCCUUAAUCCAGUGGCCUCUCC
rnacentral:lncRNA from 1 species